rnacentral:rRNA from 1 species
GAUGAACGCUGGCGGCGUGCCUAAUACAUGCAAGUCGAGCGAACAGACGAGGAGCUUGCUCCUCUGACGUUAGCUGCGGACGGGUGUGUAACACUUGGUUAACCUCCCUAUAUGACUGGGAUAACUUCGGGAAACCGGCGCUAAUACCGGAUAAUAUAUUGAACCGCAUGGUUCAAUAGUGAAAUACGGUUUUGCUGUCACUUAUAGAUGGAUCCGCGCCGCAUUAGCUAGUUGGUAAGGUAACGGCUUACCAAGGCAACGAUGCGUAGCCGACCUGAGAGGGUGAUCGGCCACACUGGAACUGAGACGCGGUCCAAACUCCUACGGAAGGCAGCAGUAGGCAAGAUGCUGCAACGAGCGAGAGCCUGACGGUGGAACAGCGCAGAAGUAAAGAAGAUGUGCAGGUCGUUAAAAGCUAUUAUAAGGGAAGAACAAAUGAGGAGGUAGCGAUGCACGUAGUGACGGUACCUAAACAGAAAGACACGGGUAACUACAUU